CUCACAAAGAAUCCAUGCAAAUUGCUUUGUCUCGUGCAGCCAGCAUAGUGAUGUGCCUCUCUGCCUGGCUUCUGGAAGGAUGGGUAGAUAUGCUGAUGUAUGCACACUGGCCCCUGAGCAGUUUCGCCUGCAGGAGAGCACGGUGAAGCCAGUGCUGCCGACACACGUCCACCUGCAGGACGAAACCCCCGGAGGGGUUUUCCAUCCAGGAAUUCCCACAAGGACAUCUGCUGGCCAGGAUGGCAGAUCUAUUGUGUCACCGACAUCCAGGUGUGCAUCACGCACAUACCAGUAAGAAGGGGUCAUUCCCAGAAACUCGGGAGUCUGUGGCUCUGAGAAGGCCAUAAAUGACACAGUUGGCAUCUCUGAAACCCCAGCCCAUCUCCUGUUACCUGGCUAUGGAGGGAGAAGCUGAAGAGCAACUUGGCCUACUAUGUGCAUGCAUCCCGGGAGUCCACACAGGAAGUCUUCUAAAUCUCAACAUGACUGCACAAAUGGCUUUCACAUUAGGGGGUAUGAGAGUGACAGCAAGCAAAAGAAGCCCACAAGCCAGGAUGGGACCUGACCAGACAUCAGGCACUGCGAUUCUGUGAUCUUGGGCUUCCCAACCUCCAGACAAUUUCCUACCUGCUAGAACUUGCAACUUCAAACAGGGAGGUGAGAUGUUUGAUAACAUCAUCAAAAGUAGGAUGGGCCUAUGAGAUGCCUCCAAGGCACUUGCUACACAAGUCUGAAGGCCUGAGUGUGAUCUCUGGAACCCACGGCAGAAGAAGGGAACCAACUCCUACCAGCUGUCCUCUGAGUUCCACGCAUGCACUGUGGACACAUGCCAACUCACACAUAGAUACAUUAACAAUAAAUAAAAUAAAAAUUAGGAGUAGGAGAUAGACUGGUGACCUUGACCAUCUUACUGGACUUUUCAAUUAGCAUCCAUCUAUGGAAUGAGAGAAUGAAGUUCUUGCUGUGAAAGUGUGUCACAAAUGCCAAAAGGACCUUCAAGUGUGAUGGCAGCAUCUUUAUCCUUGGGUUUAGCAAUCAAGAGAUGGAAACCAUAGAGAGGAAGGACCAGGACUUUUCCUGGGUACCUCACUGCGGAAUCCUAUGAACAAAGCAGGAGUGGGCCUCAGCAAGGGUCUGAGAAGUAGGGUGGGACAUCAUGGGUGACCAUGAUGCAGUCAAAGUCACAGAGGGACAAGCAAUUAUGCCUGAAAACAAAAGCCGAUACAGACGGGAUGCUCAAUGCUGUCUCCCACUCGCUCGAUUUUCCAACAAUCCCAACAGCUUUAGCAGAUUCCAACCUCUACAGUGUCACAACAUGGACCAGGGGUAGGUGGAAACCUUACCAAGCCCUCUCUGUCUGGUUUAUUCAUUGUCAAAGCAAGUACUUAUACACACUUGGGAAAAAUAUAAGUUUGGUUUCUGUCACCCUGGUUUCUAUAGUCUCGCUGUGGUAAGGACAAAUUGGAUGAAGAAUGCAGUGUCUUGCAUAGUCCCUUCCACAAGAGACCCUUCCUUAGCAACAUGAACAAAACUGAGCUCUGCCUGUUCAUUUGAGACGAUUCGAGACUGCUAUAGCACACCGCCACAACAGUUUCUAUUUCUGAGAAGCACUCUCUUCCAAUUCUUUAGAUUGGCACUGUCUUUUGGGCUCCAGCCUCCGCAGAGCAACAUAGACCGCACAUGUCCCCAGAGAUGGCCAGGCUCCCUCCAGAACUCUACAAAGAACUUUUCUCACGCUGUCCUAGUGCUAUCCUGCUCAGUAGCAGGUAACCUUUCCUGGAUCCUUCCACUUUGGAUUUGAUUCGGGCAUUUCCUCUCCUUCAGUGAAGUAGUUCUACCAGGAUGAGAAGGAAAAUGUUUCCCCGAGCCCAGACAAAUGUCAGAAGAAACCAAAGGCAUGAAACAGAAUCCUAGAUGGAGAGGUAAAGAUCCGGUGUCUGUACCUGGAAAUCAGGUGAUGGAAGUGUCUGGGAAGGAGAGGCUGUGUGGCGAUGCCCUGCUGUGCUCCUGGACAACUUUGGCCUCCCGGAUGGAAGGGCAGGAGCAGAGGUGAUGAACAGUCUGGCUUUUCCCAAGGGGCAACAACGGAGGAAGGGUACCUCUCCAGGUCAUGGGAUCUCCAGAGGGUAAAGACAUAGUGCCAUUAUCAGGAAGUUAUAACAGGGGCCUUCCUUCAAGAACAUCCCCUAAUCAGGGAUCCAGAGAGGAUACUGUAGUGUGUGCUACUGUGACUUCUUUGCCUGUCCAGGUCACCUCCCCUCCCCCCAACCUCACCCAUUGUCUUACCCAUUCUUCCUCCUUCCCAGACCCUGAGCAGACAGCAACACACUUCCUAUUCCUUGUGAGUCCUUCAGUUGUCUUCUAGCUUCACUUUUCUGAGAGUGAGCAACUUUCCCUACAUGUGUGAACUCUGGUGUGACGUUGGGCUGACUACGGUGGCAUUUGCCAUCUUAACUGGGAACAGACUCGGUUACCACACUCCAAAGAAACUAACAUCACCAAAGACUCUCCUGAGGACAAAUCAGGAUUGGCUGCCAGUGACAAAACUCAAUAUAAGUAGCUUGAGUGGAGGGAAAUGAGUAUAUGUCAUGUGCUCUUGACUCAGGAUGGGUCGGGGUUCAGUCACCCUAGUUUUAUACAUCAGGAAACUCAUUCCUUCUGUCCUGUGUCUCUGUUCCCCUCCUCUCUGGUUAGCUGCAGACAUCCCCCUGCAGGGAAAAAGGCUGAUCCAUCACCCCAAACCAGGCUUCUUCUCUUCUAUAGUAAAACAUUCUGAAAUGAAUACCUUCUCCACUCACAGACCUGUGCGUCAGUCAGGGAAGGAGAACUGUGUAUCUACAGAAUGAGGAAUUUCCAAGUAAGAGUUAGUACCCAAUAUAAACUUAAUAAACUGGGUUUGAGGUGAAGUUUUGAAAGGUGACUCUGGGAAAACAAAAAUGACCAGUCCAUACAUAUUCUUGGGAUUUCAAAGGAGACUUCCUGCCAUACAUCCCUCCUUUUAUAGAUGAAGAAACUAGAGCUUGGAGACGUUGGGCAUCUUGCCCAAGACUGCAGGCAUGACAAAUGGCGCACCCCAAGUCUGCCUGAUUUUAGGCCCUUAUAAAUUAGUUUUCUUUCUUUGCCCUGUGCUAUGCCUAGAUGAUAAGACAUAAUUAGUCCUUAAGAAAGGCUGACUCUGUCCUUAGUCAGCAGAAAAGCAACCCAGAGCAGGACCAGAGAAAUGGCUCAGUUGGAAAAUGCUUCCCGAACAAGCAUGGGGACAUGGGUUCCCUCCCCAGAAUGCACAUGAGAAGACAAGCUAAGGGACUUGUUUCUGUAACCUCAGGACUGGAGAGGCAGAGACAGGCAGCUCUCUGGAGCUCACUGACCAGCCAAUCAAUGAGCUCCAGGCUCAGUGACAGACCUCAUUUCAAUGAUAAUGUAGAGAGCAACUGAAGAGAGCACUUAGUAGUCCGUGUUGACCUCUGGCCUCUACACAUGUGUGCAAAUGUGAACACAUUACAUACACAAACACACACACACACACACAGAGUAACCCAGGCUGGCUUUGACAAGAAAAGGUAACCUAUGGGUCACAUGCGCCAGCCAUAGACAGUUUGGGGGUAGAGAUGGAAUCAAAGAUGAGAGUUCCACCAGCAUGCCCCGAUCCUCCUGAAUCCCAUGCCAUACUACCCUUUCUGCAUGUGACUGAAAGAAGGUCACCAACAGCCCUGGGCUCAGUGCCUUCAGCUCCCUCCUCAUUUGCAUGACCCCCCGACAUAUACCCUUAAUCAACUCCAUCUUAGAACUCCUCAAAAGCGGGUUCACUCAGACAGGGCCACUCAGAAUCACAUGUUCACAAGCAACCAGUGGGUGAAGAUAUGAGCAUCUGUGAUUGGCCCAACUUGAGCCCAAUGCCCACGCUAGCCAACCACUGUGGUUGGAGUUACAAGACCUGGGAAGAAAGUGGGCGCUUCUGUGAAACUUAAACGAGAGAAAAACAGAACUUACAUGGUGUCCAGUAUGGCCUCUCUAUGCAGUUAUCUCCCAAGCGGGGAUCUUGCUUUAGAGUCAUUUUAUACACAGCCAUGGCACACCUUUGUAACUCUGAGUUAAUACUUUUAAGUUAAAGCAGUUACUACUCUCUAGCUUCAGCAAGAGCAGCAGGUCCAGCCUUUGCUUUUCCAUACAUCCUAACUUUUACAGUUCCUCUGAAAACUUACAUCUCUCGUGGAAAGUUUGGAUCCACACCUAACAAUUCAGACACUGGAGCCAGGGUGACACAUAGGUGUCUGACAUGGCUGCUGUGAUGGUUUGAAUACAAAUAGCCCCCAUAGGGUUAUACAGUUGAAUGGCUAUCGUCAAGGAGUGGCACUGCUUGCAGGAUUAAGAGUUGUGGCUUUGAUGGAGUAGAAGUGGCCUUGUUAGAGGAAGUGUAUCCCUGGGGUAGGCUUUGACGUGUCAGAUGCUCAAGCCAGACACAGUGGCUCUCUCAUCCUGCUGCUGCCGGUGGAUCCAGAUGUAGAAUUCUCAGCUACUUCUCUAGGACCAUGUCUGCCUGCAUGCUGCCGUGCUCCCCACCCCGCUCCCCACCAGGAUGAUAAUGACUAGACCUCUGAAACUGUAAGCAAGCCCCAAUUAAAUGCUUUCUUUUACAAGAA